rnacentral:lncRNA from 12 species
ACAGGAAUCUAUUAGUCGAAUCAAUAGAUAACAUAAAGUUACAUGUCUGAAGGUGCAGUAGCUUUUCCAAGUGACAAAUUUCCCCAUCUUCCUAUAUACCAAGGAAAGACUGGCUGUGGAAUCGUCUUUCUGCUUAUCUCCAGGACCAACACCUAGAACCUCUUCAUUAAAGAUGAACAACUGCCUGGAAAAGAUCAGUACCUAUACCAAUUCCUGGGCAAAAGGCUAAUGAUCUGAUGUGAUGGAUGGUGGCUUGGAAGGAGUAAGAAUGAAAUAUUGCAUAUAACACAAUUUAGAAAGAUAAGUAUGUACUUCUUAAAAUGGGUCAAAAUCACAAAAUAUAUAGUUUUGUUUGAAUGUUUUUGUUUGUUUGGUUGGUUUUUUUUACAAAGUCUCUGAGGUAGAAAGGGCUCUUCACAUAUUGGAUAUGAUAACUUGCUCCAUGGAUAAUGAUCAACUUCUGUCUCUAAGUACCUUAUUUUUUAUUUUUAAGUAAUCUUUACACCCAGUGGAGCUUGCAUUGAUAGCCCUGAGAUUGAGAGUCAUAGGGUCUACUGCCUGAGGGAUCCAGGCACCCCUAGGUAUUUUGUUUUUUUCAAUGGGCUCUUGAGGA